GAUUUCUGGCUUGUAACAGCUUAUCGGCCACGGUUUCGUGUGUUAGUGUAGGUUGUUCUUGCCAUCCUUCCAAUCGCUGCUCGCUAGUCUUCAUUGAUGGGUGAGUGGUAUUGGAUCUUUUACUUUGAAAAAAUUAGAGUGUUUCAAGCAGGCAUGUUUUGCUAUGAAUACAUUAGCAUGGAAUAAUAAUCUAGGACUUUCGGUUCUAUUUUGUUGGUGUUCUGGAGCUGAAGUAAUGAUUGAUAGGGAUAGUUGGGGGUGCUAGUAUUCAAUGGCCAGAGGUGAAAUUCUCGGAUUCCUUGAAGACUAACUUAUGCGAAAGCAUU
rnacentral:rRNA from 1 species